AUGCCGCGUGCAGGAUGAAGGCCUUCGGGUUGUAAACUGCUUUUGUACGGAACGAAACGGUUCGCCUUAAUACGGUGGGCUAAUGACGGUACCGUAAGAAUAAGCACCGGCUAACUACGUGCCAGCAGCCGCGGUAAUACGUAGGGUGCGAGCGUUAAUCGGAAUUACUGGGCGUAAAGCGUGCGCAGGCGGUUAUAUAAGACAGAUGUGAAAUCCCCGGGCUCAACCUGGGACCUGCAUUUGUGACUGUAUAGCUAGAGUACGGUAGAGGGGGAUGGAAUUCCGCGUGUACAGUGAAAUGCGUAAAUAUGCGGAGGAACACCGAUGGCGAAGGCAAUCCCCGGGACCUGUACUGACGCUCAUGCACGAAAGCGUGGGGAGCAAACAGGAUAAAAUACCCUGGUAGA
rnacentral:rRNA from 1 species